GCAAGGUUACCUUUCCGGCUUGGCCUGGGCAGGGUUAUGGACGCCACUGGUUAUCUUUAGGACUCUUAGUCCAAAUUUGUAUCUUGUCCGUACUCGGAUGUAUUUGGCUUUAUGUAUGAUUUGGAUCUUUGUAUUGUAUAUUUGUAUCUUGACUCGUUGGAGUCGUUGUUGUAAUAUAUAUGUUUCUUGUGGGCUCUAUUGUAAUCUUGUUGUAAUGUUACCGCUCGUGAUUGAUUCCACCCGCAUCGCGUGCAUGCUUCGGCGUGUACGAGGCGCUUGGUGGUGCGUCUCCUAGAAUCGAUAUCGUGCGGAUUUCGGCGGAUUCGCUGGGAUCCUCAUGGUACCGGUUUUGGGGCGUCACAAGUUGGUAUCAGAGCCUCAGGUUGACGGUACCCCACUAGUCCAGCCUUUAGGAUAACCUUGCCAACAGUCGUUGAGUUUAGAGAGUCCAACCUAUUUUCUAAAACUCGUUGGAUAGUUCUGAUUAGCUCUGAUUUUUCUCCUUAUCUAUAUUCUUUCUCCUCUUACCUAUGCGAGUUUUGAGCCUUCUCUCUUAUCCGAGUUUCUCUGAGUCUUAGGUAUUGACGUGGGUUGGACGAUCUUUGCCCCUCACCUAUUAGGUCCGCUCUUCGGAGGUCUCGACGAAAGCACAUUAUCAACAACGGAACAACGACUUCUUGUUAGUGGUGUCGACCCGAUCAACCUGGAGCAACAAUUCUUGUUAGUGGUGUCGAGAAGAUCAACACCUCGACAGAAGAAGGUUCCACGCCAAGGUCGGGUGUUUGUCAACAUGGUACAAGAAGACUCGAUAGUUUAACCAACUCCCCCUUAGGUUGACGUGGAAUCUCGGGACGAGAUUCCUUGUUAGUGGUGUCGAUUGUAGCGACCCAGGAAAAUACCCCUAUUAGAUUUUGGUUGUUCUUUUUCUUUUGUGCAUCAUCAUGACAUCAUGUAUCAUAUCAUCCACAAGAUUUUAUUAAAUAAAAAUUAUUUUAAAUAAAAACUAUUUUGAGUUUCCCCUCUCAUAUGGUUUAUAAAAUAAACCUGCUCUAUGUCAGUUCAUUUAGCAAAACCCCAAACCAGAUAUUUUCAAAAGUUUCGAAUGGUCUUGUUGCAUUAAUAAAGCCCUUCAAAAUUAUGCUUGGAUCCUUUCUUCCGUUUCUUCCACUAUUCUUCUUGAUCUAUCUAAAGUCUAUUCAUUUUGCUUUAACGCCAAUUCCUGGAAACAUCAAAGGGCCGUGGCUGCCUUCCUAGUCCAACUUCCUAUUCUUUCAGCCCAGGACCCAGCAAACCUCCACGACAGCUUGUGUUGUCGCUUUCUUUUUGGUACGGCAGCGCAUGGGAGACAACCACCUCGACACCUGAUCGAUGGGACGGCUAUGAGCAGCGCCCUUCCUCCUUAAAGCCAUUCCCUGCAACCCUAGCCACCCUCUCCCCUUCCCUCGCGCCGCCCCUCUCUGGUUCCUCUUCCUUUUUCUUUCUCUUUUCUGUGAGAAACGAAGCACACAAACCACCACCGCUGCAUCGACAUGGCGCCGUCGUUCCAAGCCGCCCCUCACCAAGCCGAAGCCACCCGAAGAUGCGGCUCGUCAUCCUCGCCAUCCCCCUCCAAGGAAUCUGUCCGUGGCUCUCUAAUCGACGGCGAGAUCGCCAUUUCCAUCUCCGACGCCGGCGGGAAAUUCGUCGAUUCUGGCCGCUCCGGUGAACCUCCGGUGCCACCGACCCCCUGUGAUGUUCCUGCACAUCGCCGCGGCGCCCCUCCGGCGAGGCGCAGGAUGGCGUGCUGCUGUCAUCUGCUUCACCACGACGGCGCGGUCAUCUCUGCACCGCCACGCGCCUCCAGGAGCUCCCUUCCUCACCCAGUACCUCGCCGCCUGUUUCCGUUCCGACAUCUGCGCACGCCGUUCGUUUUGUCUUCAGUCUCGACAGUUUCAUCAGUAAAAGGGGACGUCCUCCAUCUCUGUUUCAGAAAAAUAGUCACGGCUCUGGUUGUCUUAAUUUGUUUUCAGCAAGCAGCUAUCUAAUCAACAGCAGCACUCUAGUCUUGUGGCUUGCCCAUUGCUUCACCAAACAGUAUAUCCCAGGAUCAAAUCCACAAUCGUCUGACUAACAUCUCUGUGUUAGCUUCUUGUUCCCAGAUAUUUGUCAGCGUUUUGCUUCUUCCCGGAUAGGAUCGUGAAGUGGUGUGGUGAGAUACGCCAAGUUCUCCGGAUGUCCCUCGGCAAGCUUUAAC